CACAGCCACCACUGCACAGAGAGAGAGAGGUGAGUGAAAAUGCCGGCCGGUCAUGGUCUUCGCUCCCGAACUCGUGAUUUGUUCUCAAGGCCUUUCAGGAAGAAGGGUUACAUCCCAUUGACCACUUAUCUUAGGACCUACAAGAUCGGUGAAUAUGUGGAUAUCAAGGUUAACGGCGCCGUCCACAAGGGUAUGCCUCACAAGUUCUACCAUGGCCGUACCGGUCGUGUAUGGAACGUUACCAAACGCGCCGUCGGCGUAGAGGUUAACAAGCAGGUAUACAACAAUAUAAUAACUCCAGUUCUCUUUUAUAUUUUGGUGGAAAACGAUUACUGUCUAUGUAUUCUUGGGUUUCUUAAAUUAAUGAAAAUAGUGUUAUUUUGUUUCUUUAAAUGAUAGAAAUGCUUUUAUUUAAUCUUAUGGUUCCGGUUUGCAUUCAUUUUUUGGAUUGAUUUAUUCUGGGUUCAAGUUUUUGUGGUUGUGUUUGAUCAUUAGGCGUUUGAUGUGUUGUCUGUGAUAGCUGUAUUGUAGGGCCUGACUUCUAGGUUGUGUCAUUUUUUUGGAUUUGAGCUAAAAUAGUUGUUAACAAGCAAGCAAUUUCUAUUAUACUUUUGGUGAUUUUGUGAUCCCUCUGACGUUUUUAAGGGCCUGUGUGCUUGAUGUUUACUUUGAAUGCUGAUGGCGUUAUAGAUCUUGGAUUUAGACACUAGCAUCCAAUUACUAUGUAUAUUCUGAUUAUUUAUUAUUGUAGCUCGAGAUAUCAUUACAAGUAGUUGGAUUAUUCAGCAAUUGUUGGGUCUGGUUUUAUGUUUGAUAUAGAUUGUCAAUGUGAUUGAUAUAUAGAGAGCUGUUUUAAAAUUUUGUUUGUUUUGUGUAGGGUUUCUUUUCUAGUCUUAAGAGUUUUAGUACCACUGGGAUUGUUGUUUUGGAUUAAUGUACUUUCGUCCAAAGAAUUCUCUGUUUAACUAAUUAGAUUAAUUGAUCUGUGGUGAUUUCUUUCUUGAUUUUAUUUUGAUCUCUAUUCCCUGCAUAGCUCAACUUCUAGCCUUAAAUGAUUAAAGCUUUGGUGUUGUUUGUGUAUUAUAGGUUGGUAACAGGAUUAUCAAGAAGAGGAUCCAUGUUAGAAUUGAGCAUUUGCAACCUUCGAGGUGUACCGAGGAAUUCCGCCUAAGGAAAAAGAAGAACGAUGAGCUGAAGGCAGAGGCAAAGGCUAAAGGUGAGGUCAUUAGCACAAAGAGGCAGCCAGAAGGACCAAAACCCGGAUUCAAGGUCGAGGGAGCAACAUUGGAAACUGUUACACCCAUUCCAUAUGAUGUUGUUAAUGAUCUCAAGGGUGGUUAUUAGAGCUACAAGUUUUAGGUUUUGUUCAUGCUGUUUGGUUUGUGAUGCAAACUUUUUUGUUGACUG
rnacentral:lncRNA from 1 species